CAGUAGCCACGGGAAUACGAAGGGGGCUAGCGUUGCUCGGAAUCACUGGGCGUAAAGGGUGCGUAGGCGGGUCUUUAAGUCAGGGGUGAAAUCCUGGAGCUCAACUCCAGAACUGCCUUUGAUACUGAAGAUCUUGAGUUCGGGAGAGGUGAGUGGAACUGCGAGUGUAGAGGUGAAAUUCGUAGAUAUUCGCAAGAACACCAGUGGCGAAGGCGGCUCACUGGCCCGAUACUGACGCUGAGGCACGAAAGCGUGGGGAGCAAACAGGAUUAGAGACCCCCGUAGUCCCUGUCUCUUAUAC
rnacentral:rRNA from 1 species